rnacentral:rRNA from 1 species
UAUCAGUUAUAGUUUAUUUGAUGGUUUCUUUCUACAAGGAUAACUAUGGAAAAUCUAGAGCUAAUACUUGCUUGAAAUCCCAACUCACGAAGGGAGGCAAUUAUUAGAUUAAACACCAACCAUGCUUGCAUGACUCGGUGAUUCAUAGUAAUUUUGCGGAUCGAUCGCUUCGGCGUCGACGCUUCAUUCAAGUUUCUGCCCUAUCAGUUUUCGAUGGUAGUGUAUUGGACUAUCAUGACUAUAACGGGUAACGGAGAAUUAGGGUUCGAUUCCGGAGAGGGAGCCUGAGAAACGGCUACCACAUCCAAGGAAGGCAGCAGGCGCGUAAAUUACCCAAUCCUGACACAGGGAGGUAGUGACAAGAAAUAACAACAGUGGCGCCCUAGUGCACUACUGAUUGGAAUGAGAACAACACAAAAACCUUAACGAGAAACAAUUGGAGGGCAAGUCUGGUGCCAGCAGCCGCGGUAAUUCCAGCUCCAAUAGCGUAUACUAAUGUUGUUGCAGUUAAAAAGCUCGUAGUCGGAUUUCAUGUAGAGAAGUAUAUUUGGCCCUUCGGGUUACAAAGAAACCAUCUCUGCAUUCUUUUGCUGUUACUGCGUUCUCUCACUUCAUUGUGCGAAACGUAUGCUCGGCAUCUUUUACUUUGAGAAAAUUAGAGUGUUCAAAGCAGACAUUUUUGUCUUGAAUAUUACUCAUGGAAUAAUAAUAUAUGACUUCGGUCUUCCUUUGUUGGUGUUUGUAGGCUGGAGUAAUGAUUGAUAGGGACAGUUGGGGUCAUUAGUACUCCUUAGCGAGAGGUGAAAUUCUUAGACCUUAGGAAGACUAACUACUGCGAAAGCAUUUGACAAGGAUGUUCCCGUUGAUCAAGAACGAAAGUUGAGGGAUCGAAGACGAUCAGAUACCGUCGUAGUCUCAACCAUAAACUAUGCCAGCUAGGGAUUGGGAGAGGCCUAAAUUUUCAAAGACUCUCUCAGCACCUUAUGAGAAAUCAAAGCAUUUGGGUUCCGGGGGGAGUAUGGUCGCAAGGCUGAAACUUAAAGGAAUUGACGGGAGGGCACCACCAGGAGUGGAGCCUGUGGCUUAAUUUGAUUCAACACGGGAAAA